UUUGGAUGGGGGAUAGCCCAUGGAAACAUGGAGUAAUACCGCAUGAAUCCUCGCAAGAGGUGAAAGGUGCUUUCGGGCAUCGUCUGGAGAUGAGCCUGCGGUCCAUUAGCUAGUUGGUGAGGUAAAGGCCCACCAAGGCGACGAUGGAUAGCCGGCCUGAGAGGGUGAACGGCCUCACUGGGACUGAGACACGGCCCAGACUCCUACGGGAGGCAGCAGCUAAGAAUCUUCCGCAAUGGGCGCAAGCCUGACGGAGCGACGCCGCGUGGAUGACGAAGGCCGAAAGGUUGUAAAGUCCUUUUCUAAGUGAAGAAUAAGGUAAUCAGGAAAUGGGUUAUCGAUGACGUUAGCUUGGGAAUAAGCCCCGGCCAAUUACGUGCCACCAGCCGCGGUAACACGUAUGGGGCGAGCGUUGUUCGGAUUUAUUGGGCGUAAAGGGCACGCAGGCGGUUUUAUAAGCCCGGUGUUAAAGGGUUCGGCUUAACCAGAUUUUUGCGCUGGGAACUGUAAGACUAGAGUCUAGGAGGGGGAGUUGGAAUUCCAGGUGUAGGGGUGAAAUCUGUAGAUAUCUGGAAGAACACCGGUGGCGAAGGCGAACUCCUGGCCAUAGACUGACGCUGAGGUGCGAAAGCGUGGGGAGCGAACAGGAUUAGAUACCCUGGUAGUCCACGCUGUAAACGAUGUACACUAGGCGUAGGUAUCGCUAGGUAUCUGUGCCGAAGCAAACGCGUUAAGUGUACCGCCUGGGGAGUAUGCUCGCAAGAGUGAAACUCAAAGGAAUUGACGGGGGCCCGCACAAGCGGUGGAGCAUGUGGUUUAAUUCGAUACGCGAGAAACCUUACCAGGGUUUGACAUGUGCACGAAUGUUCAAGAGAUUGAUCAGCUCUGUCAAAGAGCGUGUACACAGGUGCUGCAUGGUUGUCGUCAGCUCGUGUCGUGAGAUGUUGGGUUAAGUCCCGCAACGAGCGCAACCCCUGCUGUCUGUUGCUAACAGGUAAUGCUGAGGACUCGGACGGAACUGCCGGUAACAAACCGGAGGAAGGUGGGGAUGACGUCAAAUCAUCAUGGCCCUUAUGUCCUGGGCUACACACGUGCUACAAUGAUCGGUACAAAGCGUUGCAAAACGGCGACGUUGAGCAAAUCGCAAAAAGCCGAUCUCAGUGCGGAUUGGAGUCUGAAACUCGACUCCAUGAAGUUGGAAUCGCUAGUAAUCGCGCAUCAGCAUGGCGCGGUGAAUACGUUCCCGGGCCUUGUACACACCGCCCGUCACACCACCCGAGUUGGGUGUACCCGAAGUCGCUAGUCUAACCCGCAAGGGGGGACGGUGCCGAAGGUAUGCUUGGUAAGGGGGGUGAAGUCGAAACAAGGUA
rnacentral:rRNA from 1 species